rnacentral:rRNA from 1 species
UACAGAGGGUGCAAGUGUUGUUCGGAAUCACUGGGCGUAAAGCGCACGUAGGCGGAUUGCUAAGUCAGGGGUGAAAUCCUGGAGCUCAACUCCAGAACUGCCUUUGAUACUGGUGAUCUUGAGUCCGGGAGAGGUGAGUGGAACUGCGAGUGUAGAGGUGAAAUUCGUAGAUAUUCGCAAGAACACCAGUGGCGAAGGCGGCUCACUGGCCCGGUACUGACGCUGAGGUGCGAAAGCGUGGGGAGCAAACAGG